GUCGAGGGGUAACAUAGGAAAGCUUGCUUUUCUGAUGACGACCGGCGCACGGGUGAGUAACGCGUAUACAACCUACCUUUUAGCGGGGAAUAGCCCAGGGAAACUUGGAUUAAUGUCCCAUGGUAUGGAGGUCUCUCCUGAGAUCAUCAUUAAACAUUUAUGGCUAUUAGAUGGGUAUGCGUCCUAUUAGUUAGUUGGUAAGGUAACGGCUUACCAAGGCAGCGAUAGGUAGGGGUCCUGAGAGGGAGAUCCCCCACACUGGUACUGAGACACGGACCAGACUCCUACGGGAGGCAGCAGUGAGGAAUAUUGGACAAUGGGCGAGAGCCUGAUCCAGCCAUGCCGCGUGCAGGAAGACUGCCCUAUGGGUUGUAAACUGCUUUUACAGAGGAAGAACCACUCCCACGUGUGGGAGUUUGACGGUACUCUGCGAAUAAGGAUCGGCUAACUCCGUGCCAGCAGCCGCGGUAAUACGGAGGAUCCGAGCGUUAUCCGGAAUCAUUGGGUUUAAAGGGUCCGUAGGCGGGCAAUUAAGUCAGUGGUGAAAGUCUUCCGCUCAACGGGAGAACUGCCAUUGAUACUGAUUGUCUUGAGUUAUUAUGAAGUGGUUAGAAUGAGUAGUGUAGCGGUGAAAUGCAUAGAUAUUACUCAGAAUACCGAUUGCGAAGGCAGAUCACUAAUAAUACACUGACGCUGAUGGACGAAAGCGUAGGUAGCGAACAGGAUUAGAUACCCUGGUAGUCUACGCCGUAAACGAUGGUUACUAGCUGUUCGGCCCGAUUAAGGGUUGAGUGGUUAAGCGAAAGUGAUAAGUAACCCACCUGGGGAGUACGUUCGCAAGAAUGAAACUCAAAGGAAUUGACGGGGGCCCGCACAAGCGGUGGAGCAUGUGGUUUAAUUCGAUGAUACGCGAGGAACCUUACCAGGGCUUAAAUGUAGUCUGACAGGACUGGAAACAGUUUUUUCUUCGGACAGAUUACAAGGUGCUGCAUGGUUGUCGUCAGCUCGUGCCGUGAGGUGUCAGGUUAAGUCCUAUAACGAGCGCAACCCCUGUGGUUAGUUGCCAGCGAGUAAUGUCGGGAACUCUAGCCAGACUGCCGGUGCAAACCGUGAGGAAGGUGGGGAUGACGUCAAAUCAUCACGGCCCUUACGUCCUGGGCCACACACGUGCUACAAUGGUAGGGACAGAGAGCAGCCACUUCGCGAGAAGGAGCGAAUCUAUAAACCCUAUCACAGUUCGGAUCGCAGUCUGCAACUCGACUGCGUGAAGCUGGAAUCGCUAGUAAUCGCAUAUCAGCCAUGAUGCGGUGAAUACGUUCCCGGGCCUUGUACACACCGCCCGUCAAGCCAUGGAAGCCGGGGGUACCUGAAGUCGGUCACCGC
rnacentral:rRNA from 1 species